rnacentral:rRNA from 1 species
GGGUCAGUAGGUUGGUCGUGCCACCGGUACGUACUGGUCUCACUGAUUCCUCCUUCCUGAAGAACCGUAAUGCCAUUAAUUUGGUGUUGCGGGGAAACAGGACUGUUACUUUGAAAAAAUUAGAGUGUUUAAAGCAAGCUAACGCUUGAAUACAUUAGCAUGGAAUAAUGAAAUAGGACGAUCGAUCCUAUUUUGUUGGUUUCUAGGAUUGACGUAAUGAUUAAUAGGGAUAGUUGGG